rnacentral:rRNA from 1 species
UACGAAGGGGGCUAGCGUUGCUCGGAAUCACUGGGCGUAAAGGGUGCGUAGGCGGGUCUUUUAAGUCAGGGGUGAAAUCCCGGGGCUCAACCCCGGAACUGCCUUUGAUACUGGGUAUCUUUGAGUCCGGAAGAGGUGAGUGGAAUUCCGAGUGUAGAGGUGAAAUUCGCAGAUAUCAGGAGGAACACCGAUGGCGAAGGCAGCUCGCUGGGACGGUACUGACGCUGAGGCGGCGAAAAGCGUGG